UGGUGUUCUAGGAAUCUAGUGGUACUGAACAAAAUAUUCUUUUUUCAAAUGUAUUACUCCUCUAGCUAACUCACUUAUCUUUCUCCUCGAGAUAUUACUAACUGAAUUAUAUGGCAUUACCCAAUAUGCCCCUCCCCAUUUGUCAGUUCAAGCAGAUAAUGACAUGGAAAAAAGUACUUUGGUCUCUACAGGUUCUGCUACGCAUCUUUCUUUCCCAAUAACAUUUCACAAAAAUAUUUUUUGAAGACAUAGUACAAUUACAGUGCCUGAAGUUCAUGAAAUUCUUAGGAGCUGUUGCAUAUUUGUGAAAAAGAAAAGACUAUGUUGUCAAUUUGUCAUGAUACCAAUCCUUGCCCUGAAAAGACCUGGAUCUGCCUUCAGAAAACUCCAUAGAGAAGGGAGUGGGCAAUGAAAUCACAGUUACUAGGAAAAGAAGAUGCAGCCUACCUGCAUCGUGAUAUCAACAAGUCUUUCGCACCGAAAGAUGGACUGAAACUUGUUGAACAUACAAAUCUGGUAUUCAAACCUCCACACUCUGAUGGCUUUUUUGGUGUCGGCAAUGGAUAGCGCAUAUAGGACUUUAAUGAUCCCGGAAAACAAAGCUAACGUGGAAGGUGGUUAAGGUACAUUUUUAUUAGAUUAUAUUUUUUGCUGUGAGAAUAAAAACUUUAUUUAUUUAUGUGUUCGAUAUCAUUUUUUUAUUUUUUUUAUUAUAUGUGGUUAAGUGUCCUCGUUCUCAACAAGUUGGGGUAGUUGAGUCCGUCUAUUAUGUCAUGAAGUAUAUGGAUCAAAUAGUAUCACUUGUAUCGAAAAAGGAACGUAAAUUUCAAAAGGUAAUUACCGCUUCAUAUUUUUAUCUUUAAAUUGGCACUUGUUUGUUUGAGUGUACUUGCAUCGUUUCUAAUAUGUCUAUGCAUUUGGUUUUGUGUAUGUAGCAUUUCACUCUAGAGGAAUAUACUCAAGAAGUUAUCGAUGAUGUUCGUGAAAGAUGAUGUAGAUUUUUCAUUGAUAAUUGUCUGUAGUUAAUUAAUUUCAGUUUGACACUUAGUUGACAUAAACUUCUUAUAUUCGUGUCCGGUAUUUUCUAACAUGUAAAAAUACAAAAGUAUUACGUAUGACUUUUAUCAAUGUUGGAGAUUAUAUUGUA